GCGAUAUAGUUUAUAUUCUAUUAUUUUAUAAUUUUACAUUCACUAUAAUUUGUACCAAAGGGAAUGAAAAACGAAGAAACAAGAUAUAAAUAGAAAGAAAAGAAUGGCACAUGAGUGGAAUUAGAUUAAGUGAGACGAUACUAAAACUAUACGUAAUACAGAGAAAUAAGACCGUGUUGACGCGAUAGCGUAGUAAGGCCAGUACGCUAAUUGGAUCUUUUAUACGUGUUAAAUUUACUCGAAAGUACUAGAACAAGAAAUUAUUGGACGGAGUGGUCGAUCUGAACCCUACGUAGUUCAUGACCAACAUCUUCAUGUCCACGGUGGCUCGGCUGUCUGACGAACACGCAUGUUCCACGAUUGUAGAGUUUUACGUGGUCGGAGCUGUGCAAGAUAUUUUCGUAUCUGGAAGUUUAAUACAAAGGUUAUACCGAUUUGUUUUCUUUAGUAUAAAUUGCCGGCGAGCAAGAAUGGUGCAGAUGGAGAAGCGGACUCUAGCGAAUAACGAACAGCAAGAGGAGUAACAACAAGAAGAAGGAAAAGAGCGUUUAAUCGCCGAUGAUGAGAAAAUGUAUUAUAUCGUUGGUUGCGUGCGAGCGUUGGAGAAAAUGCGUGAAACGUGGGAAUGGAAGGAAGAAGUAGUUCAUGAAUGUGUAAAUAAGAUGUGUAAAUAAAAGCGUUUAGAAAUGUAAAACGUUUUGCGUAAAGCAGCUAGUGAUAAGAGCAGCGUAAAGGUAUAGAGUGAAAAGAUGAGGUGUGUAAUAAAGUUGUGUAAAUAAAAUAAACGCGUACUUAACUUGGGUGUGUGAAAAAGUGGAGCGGGAAAGGUAAUAGCGAUGUUGAUUUAGCGUGGGAAUUUGUCAAAACAUGGGUUAGUUUUGUUAGAAAAUUGUAAAAUAUGUAAAGAGAUUGUAGACGUUAGAAGCGUGAAAGUUGAAAGAAGUAAGAAAAGAAGGUAAAGAGAGUAUAAAAUGAUAUUAAGUAGUACGUAAGGCAAUAUAAUUUUCUGGAUGGCAAAAGAAUGGAUUUGUUUGGAUUCUAGGAGACUAAAGAAUAAAUGAAGAUACAUUUAGGAGAUAUGUGUGCUUUGUUUAUUCGACCAUUGACCAUAAAUUGUAAAAGUAGGCUUUAAAAAAAUAAAUGACAGAUAGAAUAGCUUUUAAAGGUUAAGAAUAUGGUUGCGUUAAGAAAGGCGUAAUUGUGAAACGUAUGGGUAAUGGAAUAAAAUACCAUUACAAAAGGUAGUAAUUAUAUCUGGAAAUAUAUUAAUAAGGAAUAACACGAUUGGAAUCUUGUAAUUAUACGGAUAAUAUAUGGAAAGUGGUUAACGUUAAAUGACUUCCAUUUAAAGGAACGAAAGGUAUUAGAAAUAAAAUGGAACGGUAUUAUUAAAUGUAGUAAUUAUAUAGAAUUAUAGGAAAUAUGCUGGUAAUUAGGCGUAGGCUUGGAUGAGAAUUAUAGUGCGUUACAAAGUCUGACAGGAAAGAAGAACGUCGGAAGAAGGUUUGGUGGAAGGGAAUAGA
rnacentral:misc_RNA from 1 species